ensembl:lncRNA
GUACCUCUGGUCCCCAUUCAUGGCUCACACUCUGUUUCUCCUGGAUGAUGCAGCUCUAGAGCAUGGGCUGGGGUCCAGGCUAUUUCACCAUCAAUCACCCCUUCCUGAGAUGGCAAGAAAAGAGGGGAAAGCUGGCCAGCCCCUGCCCUGGGGUGAGGACUCAGGCAUCUUUCCCCACAGCCAGUUUGGGGGUGGAAGACUAGAGGGCUGCCUGUCCUCACUCCCACCUGCUUCAGGAGCUGGGUUCUUGUCCUCCAUCAUCAGGCCCCUGUUGCUCUGCAGUGAGCAGGAAGUGAAGUGAGAAGACCUCCUUCUGGGGCUCCCC